UUUCCGUAGGUGAACCUGCGGAAGGAUCAUUAUUGAAUAAACCUGAUGUGGUUGCAGCUGGCCCUUUCGGGAGCAUGUGCACACCCGUCGUCUUUAUCUUUCCACCUGUGCACCUUUUGUAGACCUGGAUGUAACACUUUCCGAGGCAACUCGGUCGGGAGGAAUGCUGUCAGCUUUCCUUGAAUGUCCAGGCCUAUGUUUUCAUAUACCCCAAAGAAUGUAACAGAAUGUAUUAUUGGGCCUUGUGCCUAUAAACUAUAUACAACUUUCAGCAACGGAUCUCUUGGCUCUC
rnacentral:misc_RNA from 1 species